rnacentral:lncRNA from 1 species
UUCAUACAUAAUUGUCAUGAAUUACUAGAUUAUCCAAUUAGGUGGAGCCGACCAAUGAGAGUAGAGGUUGCGAGAAGUGACGUCAAUUGAAAAAUCGAAACGUGAUUGGCUGUUGAGUCGACUUGGUGGGUGAGGCUCGACGGAACGUUAUUUUGACCCCAGUAUUGGCAUAGUUGUGGUGUACAAGUUAGUGUUAGGGCGUGAUGUUACUCUGAGCUGGUACCCCGUUACCCUUUGGGGUCGCUAGGGCUGACAGAUCCCCUAGCUUACACUCAUAUUGUACACCCGCAAAACGCCAAUACAUAGGGGCUAUUAAGUGAAUGAGGUAAUGGUUGGAAGAAGAGGCAUCGCUUGAAAGGAGCCUACUGGUGAUGUAGGAAUGUGGAGGAGACUACCGUUGUGAUGGGACCAGUGGUGGACCGAUGAAACAAGUCUUGGACGAUGCCGAGCAGAAGGUAAUACCGGACUGGUUGCCAGGACCCCUGGGCUGUCUGGAAGUUGAACAGUGAGACGCUUCAACUUCACGAAUAAUGAACACUUGCCACAGUCUUGAAGGACCGAUGAUUGGAGUCAUACCCUGCCGAGCAGAAGGUGCUGGCAGAUGUUCCAGUUGUGCUACUUGAGUUACCAAGAUCAGCGUGUGGAGAGGAGGUGGGAGCUGGGCGAAACAGAGCAAUGGUGAAGUGUGUAUUUGUGAAGAAAGCCGCAUUGGUGGAGGGCAACCAACGCCACACUGCAGAGUAAUGGAAGAGGCUGUGACCUGCAGUUUCGCAGGUGACACGCUUGAGUACCCUCGACGUGGAUGACGUUGGUACCAUCCUGUGUAGUUACUCUAGGGACACAACCUCCAGCUGUUGAAGGAUCAAGUUUGUGUUCCAUACAAGAACCGACUACGGAAGGAGCACAAGGUACAGCAUUGGUGAAGAAGUAAAAUGGAUGGAGCCCGCGGGGAGAGUACUGCGCCCAUGAGGUCGACAGAGAUUCCUAGUUACAGCGGGCAGCCGCCGCGUUCGCCCUUCGGUGUGUUCAGCGGGAACCCCCAAAGUGAUAAGCCUGUAGAUAGGCAAGAAAUAAUCGCAUGAAUUGUAUAUAGUGUAAUGAAAUGAAUGCAAGUUUAAUAUAGUACGUAUAGAUGUAGUUAUUAAUUGUAAAUCAUUAUAAAUAAUGCAUUUAUUAUUAUUAUGGAGUAAAUCGUUAUCAAAUAAAUAGUUAAUAAUAUCUAAUAAAAUAAAUGUUACCAUUAAAAAAAAAUAUAUAUGAAUAAUACCUUUGACGUUUGUAAUAUGUUUGACUUGCACAAUAGUUACUGUGUGAGGAAAUCCCGUAUGUCACUGAAUGUGAGGGACAUGGCCAAGAUAGUUUUAAUAUUAAUCAUGGAAGAAAGUAUAGUGAGAAUAUUAUGUUUGAGCGUUAAUGUGUUAAAAUUUGUUGGGGUGGAUGUACAAUAAUAUACCUAGAUAGUACUAUAUUAACGUGAAAUUUGAAUGUUGUAUAUGUGAAGUUUUGGAGCUUGAAUGGGUAGAAAUACCCAAAGGUACUCGUGAGUUUAUAAUAUGAUUUAGUUCAGUUGUCUCCAAUAACAUAGUUGAAGUUGAAUACAUAAGGUUGUUUGUAGUGUCAACUUAUUCAUAAGUAUAGAAACUUCAAUAAUUAGUGUAGCACUUAAAAUUGUGUUUGUGUGAUAUCAUUAUGAUAGACAGUAUAGCUCGGAGCUACAAGAAAUGUUCCCAAAGAGUCUAACAUUUAUAUGGUGUGCUUACUAUAUUAAACAGGAUUCUUGUAUUGUGUAUUUUUAGGGCCGUUUGAGGUUCUGCAAGUAGAGUAUAAAUACCCUAAAGUACUGUAUCCCUUUGAGAUGUAUUUAUUAUUGUGUCA